UUUUUUUUUUUUUUUUGAGAUGGAGUCUUGCUCUGUUGCUCAGGCUGGAGUGCAGUGGCGCGAUCUCCGCUCACUGCAAGCUCCGUCGCCUCCCGGGUUCACACCAUUCUCCUGCCUCAGCCUCCCGAGAAACUGGGACUACAGGCGCCCACCACCACGCCUGGCUACUUUUUGUAUUUUUAGUAAAGACAGGGUUUCACCGUUGUCGGUCAGGCUGGUCUUGAACUCCUGUCCUCAAGUGAUCCUCCCGUCUUGGCCUCCCAAAGUGCUGGGAUUACAGGCAUGAGCCACCGCGCUCGGUCCACCCUGGGUUUUUAUUCAUCAAGCCUCGCUGCCCCCUUGGCACAGGGGCCAAGACCACAGCUGGGAAGCUCCCUUCCCCUUGCCCCGAGAGCCAACCUGGACUGCUGCUGAGCUAUUACAGGCUGAGGCACAGCCUCUCUUUCUCCUUUUACCCUCCCUGAUAUCUUCUUUAACAUAAUCAUGGCCACCCCAGCUUCCUUCAGAGAGCAGUGUGUUCCUGAGCUAGAGAGGAUGGGUGACUGCCUGGAGUCAGGACUUGGGGAGAAUGGUGUAGGUCUGGAGCCAACUGUGGCGCUGGAACAAGGCCCCUACCUUUUUCAGCCUCAGUUUCCCUAAUCAGCUAGAGAGGCCUACUGCCUCCUUGGAGGUUAAAUAGAUGACAUUCACAGGUCAACGGAAAUGCUGCAUUUAUGGCAGUAACUGACCUCGUAGGUGUUUCAGAAUUCAGGCUGGUUCAGACCAGAGCACACUCAGGAUGAUAUGGGACACCCCCAGCAAGGCAGGCAGCUCCCUGUCAACACAUAUGCUAGCACUUCUGCAAAUAAUAUUUCUGCAGCAAAUGUAUCUGCGGCUGUUGAUACCAAGAGGGAGAUCUACUAAGAGGAUCUAAGGAUAGUCAUUGCAGUUCUGCUGUACCCCACAAUGAGCCGGGAAAAAAGAAAAGGAUGGCUUUAGAGAUUUUUGAAGGUUGGAAUUGCAGAUUAGGGGCCACAGACCUCAAAUGCCUAUCGGAUAGGAUGGAUGUGGGUUUGUUUUUCUUGUUUUUAUUUUUCUUUGAGACGGAGUCUUGCUCUGUCACCCAGAUUGGAGUGUAACAGCACGAUCUUAGCUCACUGCAACCUCCACCUCUCGGGUUCAAGCGAUUCUUCUGCCUCCGCCUCCCAAGUAGCUGGGAUUACAGACACAUGCCACUAUGUCUGGCUAAUUUCUGUAUUUUUAGUAAAGACGGGGUUUCAUCAUGUUGGCCUGGCUGGUCUCGAACUCCUGACCUCGUGAUUCACUCAUGUCAGCCCUCGAAGUGCUGGGAUUACAGGCGUGAGCCACUGUGCCCAGCCAGGGUAUGGGUUUUAAUUGAGAUGAUAUGUUGUGGAGUGACUGGCACAUAACAAGGACUUUGUCAUUGCUGGUUGCAAUUACUAUCGACUGUUGUUGCUAUUAUUAUUACUAACCCCUCUUCAGUCUGUAUGGGCUGGUGCAGACACAUUGGGCUGUGAUGCAGAUCCACAGUUUUCUAGACUUUAACGUGCACACCAGUUCCUGGGGGAUCCUGUUACCAUGUGAGUUCUGAGUCAGCUGGUGCAGACACUUUGCAUUUCUAACUCCCAGGUUUGGCUGCUGUGGUCAGGGGCCUGCCCUCUUGAGUAGCAAGGUGUCCAGUGGUUUUCCAGGCGUUUCUGAGUUGCUUUCAAGCAUUCUGCAAAUGGAGGGGAGGCAUUGGAUGCCAAGGUCAAAAUAAGAUUCCUUAGCUCUUAGCUUUGGGAUUUGCCAAUUUGCAGCCAGGUCUGUAUUAAUCAUUACAUGUGGAAAAAAGUCGUAUAACACGACGAAAGUCUUUGCACCAUCCCCUCUUCCUUCUUUUUCCAAAGGUGACCUCUGUGGGGAGUUUGGGGUUCAUUGUUUCUCUCUGUUGUCCAGGCUGGAGUGCAGUGGCGUGAUCAUAGUUCAUUGCAGUCUCAACAUCCUGGGUUCAGGUGAUCCUCCCGCCUCAGCCUCCUAAGUAGCUGAGGCUACAGGCACAUGCCACCACACGCAGCUAAUUUUUGUAUUUUUUUGUAGAGGCAGGGUUUUGCCAUGUUGUCCAGGCUGGUCUCAAACUCCUGGACUCAAGUGAUCCUCCUGCCUCGGCCUCCCAAAGUGCUGGGCUUACAGGCGUGAGCCACUGUGUCCAGCCUAAUUUUUAAAAUUUUUUGUAGAGGUGGGAACUCACUAUAUUGCCCAGGUUAGUCUCAAACUCCUGGUCUCAAGUGGUCUGCAUGCCUUGGCCUCCCAAAGUUCUGGGAUUACAGAUAUGAGCCACCGCACUCGGCUGAUUUAUGUUUAUUAUAAUUAUUGGUAUGGCUGGAGGGCAGUGGUGUGAUCCCGACUCAUUGCAGCCUCUGCCCUGGUUCAAGCAAUUCCCCUGGCUCAGCCCUCCCGAGUAGCUGGGACUACAGGUGCACGCCACCACACCUGGCUAAUUUUUGUAUUCUUAGUAGAGACAGGGUUUCGCCAUGUUGGCCAGGCUGGUCUCGAAGUUAUGACCUCAGGUGAUCCACCCACCUCACCCUCCCAAAGUGCUGGGAUUAGAGGUGUGCGCUACCGUGCCCGGCCUUUCCCUGCUUCUUCUUUUUUUUUUUUUUUUUUUUUUUGAGACGGAGUCUCGCUCUGUCGCCCAGGCUGGAGUGCAGUGGCGCGAUCUCGGCUCACUGCAAGCUCCGCCUCCCGGGUUCACGCCAUUCUCCUGCCUCAGCCUCCCGAGUAGCUGGGACUACAGGCGCCCACAACCGCGCCCGGCUAAUUUUUUGUAUUUUUAGUAGAGACGGGGUUUCACCGUGGUCUCGAUCUCCUGACCUUGUGAUCCGCCCGCCUCGGCCUCCCAAAGUGCUGGGAUUACAGGCGUGAGCCACCGCGCCCGGCCUCCCUGCUUCUUUUAAAUGGAAUAUUUUAGUGUUCCAUUUUAGCUCUGCUUUUAGCCUGGUUGCGCUACCUUUUUAUUGCUCUAGAGUUUCCAUUCUCUGUCUUUGACUCGGAUUUUGGCUUUGAAUCUUCGUGAGAUGGGAGCCAUGGGAGGGCUUUGAGCUGGGGAGUGACCGACCUGACAUUUUUAUAUCCAUACCUUGGGUUGCUUAUGCAAGAGUGUUUCCACCGGCCGGAUUCCUGGAAGAGGAAUUGCUGAGGCAAAAGGGAGCGAGCAUUUAGACUUUGGUAGCCCCGCCAAGUUGCAUUCCAGAAAGUCUUCACCAUUUUCCCUGCUGGCAAACGGCAGCCGGAGCUUUUGAGUGGCUGUUCCGUGCCAGGCCUGUGCUGGACUCUGGGGACCUUGGCAGGAGUCAGCCCGGGGCUGGCUGCUUCCUAAUUCUCGGUCCUCGAGUCCUACCUCUGAUCUCAAGAAAAGGUGAGGAUUUCAGAGGGGCCACAAAAAGGAGAAGCAAGAGAUGAUUGUGGGUGGCAGAAGGCGACCUGGCACAUCCCAGGUGAUAUGAGAGCUGGCUGCAUCCGAUGGUACCACCGCAGGGAGCGUGACCAGGAGGUGGAGUGUGUUGGAGUGGGAACCACACGUGUGAGCUCCCAUCACCGUGUGCCGUGUUGGGAUGCAGUUGAGGGGUCAAAUAAUAGUACCUCCCUCCUGGGACUUGUUUGGGAGGAUUCAGUGAGAGGGCAGAGAGCACACAGUCAGAACUUACGGAUCCAGGUUGUCAUUUGACCAAAUGAUCUGCGUGGUGGGAGGGGACCACCUUCAGGCACGGGCCCACCCAGCCUAGGGAAAGGCAUGACUCAGGUUUUGGACAGUGUUUAAGGCCUGUGUCAGUUGAACUUGGGCUUGGAUCCCCAGCUCUAUCCUUCUCCAGGCAAGUUCUCCCCUGUUAGAUGAGGUUAAAUGAAAGCAGAGUCUGCCUCCCGAAGUGGUGCGAGGGUUCGGCUCAGUGAGAUGACGGCAGCAAAGAGUUCAGUAUCUGUCGUGGACCACAGUAAGGGUUGAUGAAGCUUAGCUGCUCUUAUUAAUAUUGCUGUCGUUUUGUUGUUGUCAUUAUUUUUAUUUGAUUUUCCUUCUUUCUUUCUUUUUUUUUUUUUUGAGACAGUCUCACUCUCACCCAGGCCGGAGUGCUGCGGUGGUGCGAGCUCAGCUCAAUGCAGCCUCCACCUCCAAGGUUCAAGCAUUUCUCCUGCCUCAGUUUCCAAGUAGCUGGGAUUACAGGUGCCCGCCACCAAGCCCAACUCGUUUUUUUAUUUUUAGUAGAGACAGGGUUUCACCAUGUUGGUCAGGCUGGUCUUGAACUCCUGACCUCAAGUGAUCCUCCUGCCUUGGCCUCCCAAAGUGCUGGGAUCACAGACCUAAGCCAACCGUGCCCCGGCCUAUUUUUCCAAGAUGGGAUGUCCCUAUGGUUUCCAGGCUGGUCUUGAACUCUGGGCUCCAGUAUUCCUCCCACCUCAGCCUCCCAAAGUACUGUAAUUACAGGCGUGAGCUACUAUGCCCAGCCAUUGUCAUUAUGUUAAAUUUAAGGCCUAGUAGGCAACAGCCAGAUCCUUAGUCUUCCUCUAGGACUAAAGUGGGGCAGUUGCUCAGGAUCAGGAAAUAAUAGAGAUUGGAAGCCAAGUUCCUCUGACCCAGGGUUCUUGGGCUACCCCAUUUCUGGAGAGCUUCCAGAUUGAGGGAGCAAAGUCUCUUCCCCUGUCAUAAUGGCCAGUGAACAAGACACGAUAUGAAAACACCACCAGCAGCAUCAGUCAUGCUAAUGGUGCCUCACCUGCAGUGACUUAUCGGGUGACAAGCCCUGACCUGAAGCCAGGCUAUUUAUAACCCGUCUUUAUUGAGCUCCAUCUGAAUAUUCAUAUGUUUAGCUCAGAAAUAUUAACAUUGGAUUGCCGGGUGUCUCAGAGCCCGCCGGGGCUGUUCUGUGCGUUCACCCCGUCCCCCUGCAAAGCCUGAAAAACUCCGCAUUUCAGAACACAUCUCACUCCACAGGUUUACAGUAAAAGGUUGUGGAGCCAUGUGAAUGUAAAUUCCGUUUCUCCCUCUUCAUACACCCCAGGCUGCAUACUGCACACACCGUUUGGCAUCUCCCAGCCCUGUGUUUUAUUGUAUUUACCACUCAGCUCUCCAGUCCUUGCCAGACGAGUGAGAAUGAGCAGUGGCGUCAGGCCUUGACUGGCUCUGCAGGGUGGGCGGGAGGAGUGGGCAGUGCAGCUUCUGGAACCCGUUCUCUGAAGGCUCAGAGCCCGGAGCCCAGAGCCCAGAGCGAGGCCAUGGCUGGGACGAGGGAGGAAGGGGGAACGGCAUCAUGGACUAACCUGGGCCUGCCCUUGACAUGGGAUCUGCCUUGUCUGACCGGGAGGAGGCCACGUUGGCUAUGCCCACUUUGGUGGGGACCAGGAGGGAGGCCGGGCCUUGAAAGUGGCCAAGUAGAGGAAGGAAUUCAGGAAGAGUGUGCCGGAAGGGAUUUCACUCACUCUCUUUUCCCCUUGGUCACUGGCACGCUGUCCACAGCCUGUACCACUUUGCUAAACUCACUAGGUUGCCAAGAGACACCUCAGACUUAAUGUGUUCAACACCGCGCUCCUGAUACGGUUCUCCUCCCUGGGAAAAACCCCAUAAAAACCAAAACAAACAAAGCCUACUUCUCUCCAUCUCAGUCAACGGCACCAUCUCAGUAA
ensembl:lncRNA